GCCCGGAUAGCUCAGUCGGUAGAGCAGAGGAUUGAAAAUCCUCGUGUUGGUGGUUCGAUUCCGCCUCCGGGCACCA
rnacentral:tRNA from 1 species